CGUAUAUAUGGGGGAGGGAACCCCGAUGGGAGAAGGCAGCCUCCUGGGAUACCACUGACUCUCACGCGCGAAAGCGUGGGGAGCAACACAGGAUUAGAUACCCUGGUAGUCCACGCCCUAAACGAUGUCAACUAGCUGUUGGGGCUUUCGGGCCUUGGUAGCGCAGCUAACGCGUGAAGUUGACCGCCUGGGGAGUACGGUCGCAAGAUUAAAACUCAAAGGAAUUGACGGGGACCCGCACAAGCGGUGGAUGAUGUGGAUUAAUUCGAUGCAACGCGAAAAACCUUACCUACCCUUGACAUGUCUGGAAUGCCGAAGAGAUUUGGCAGUGCUCGCAAGAGAACCGGAACACAGGUGCUGCAUGGCUGUCGUCAGCUCGUGUCGUGAGAUGUUGGGUUAAGUCCCGCAACGAGCGCAACCCUUGUCAUUAGUUGCUACGAAAGGGCACUCUAAUGAGACUGCCGGUGACAAACCGGAGGAAGGUGGGGAUGACGUCAAGUCCUCAUGGCCCUUAUGGGUAGGGCUUCACACGUCAUACAAUGGUCGGGACAGAGGGUCGCCAACCCGCGAGGGGGAGCCAAUCCCAGAAACCCGAUCGUAGUCCGGAUCGCAGUCUGCAACUCGACUGCGUGAAGUCGGAAUCGCUAGUAAUCGCGGAUCAGCAUGUCGCGGUGAAUACGUUCCCGGGUCUUGUACACACCGCCCGUCACACCAUGGGAGUGGGUAUAGAGUGUUCUCUCUUUCUCUCGUAGAGUCAUAUGUACACC
rnacentral:rRNA from 1 species